rnacentral:misc_RNA from 1 species
UAAUAAGUGUUUUAUGGCACUUUUUAAAUCCAUAUCCACCUUGUGUGCAAUGUCAGUCGGUUUUCUUUUUCGUCAAGAAAAAAAGGAUCGACCAAACAUCAACUAUUCUAAUUGAACUUUUGUCUGAAAACUAUUAUGAAUAAACUAAUUCAAAAUA